UGGCUCAGACGGUAAAGCGUCUGUCUGUAAUGCAGAAGGCCCAGGUUCGAUCCCUGG
rfam:TPA: Bos taurus chromosome 16, whole genome shotgun sequence.